rnacentral:lncRNA from 1 species
UUUCCUUAACAUUUAUCUUGCAAAUCACAGCUUAGAUAUCUUCCUGUUUGUUAUUAUUACCUGUCACGUUAUAUCGUGAACACAAACACACAUGAAUUUACUUGAGAGUAAAGUUUGUGUCUUAUUUUUUUCUGUAACUGGGCUUCUUACCACAAGGCCUUGGCAUGUAACAGGUACUCAAAGGUAUGUUGAAUUGAAUUGAAGCAUAGCUUAUAAGAAUGGAAGGUAAGGGCUGUAACAAGCAAUUUAAAUAGUCCAGGUCUUAGAAAACAGUCUUUUUUUUUUAAUGUUUACCAGUUUAUUAUAAGGGAUAUGUUUUUAUUGCCAUCAUCUCUGGAAAACCAACCUUCUUAGGAGAGCUUAAUAUCCUUUCCCUACCCUAGUUUCUAUUUGUGUUAGUAAUCGUGCUCUGGGAAGGGGAAAUUGCCAACAGUCUGGCAAGCCUCCCUAGAGAGCCCUUUCAAGUACUCUGGAGAAAACAGCGAUGCCAUGUGCUGCUGCUGGGGAAGGGAAGCAGCAGCACUGGGGAGCAAGA